AAAAAAUACGGUGUGUUUUUCUGGUUAUUAUUUCUACCAACGAUUUGUUCUAGUCCAGAAAACGAUAUUCUUGACGCACAUAACCGAUAUAGAGCGAAACACAGAGCCCCACCACUAAAAUUAAAUGCGAAACUCACCAAAGAUUGCGACGAUUAUGCCCACCAAUGCGUGGACCACAAUGAGCUUGUGUAUUCGAAAUCGGAUGGCCUUUAUGGCGAGAAUAUUUGCAGUGCUACGAACGCCACAAGAUGUGUG